rnacentral:sRNA from 1 species
CAUCUCUGGGAAAUAAUAUUAGAAGUCAGAGUUUGAGUUGCCUGAAAGAAAUCAGAGAGACUUGGUUAGUUUGUGAAAUCUUUUGUUCAAAGUGUAUUAGAUCCUGUAGAAUAAUCCCUGUUCCCUAUGGAAUAGACACUCCCUGUAACAUGCACAUGUGUAUUUGUUUGAUUCAUUCUCCUCUAUCUCUUUCUCUCACUGAGAUGCAGGUAAUUGACUAAAUGCCAAUGUUUCUAUUCUUUUUUUUCUUUUUUUUUUUUGAGACGGAGUCUCACUCUGUUGCCCAGGCUGGAGUGCAGUGGCGUGAUCUUGGCUUACUGCAAGCGGGUUCAUGCCAUUCUCCUGCCUCAGCCUCCCGAGUAGCUGGGACUAUAGGUGCCUGCCACCACACCCAGCUAAUUUUUUGUAUUUUUAGUAGAGACAGGGUUUCACUGUGUUAACCAGGAUGGUUUCGAUCUCCUGACCUCGUGAUCCGCCCGCCUCAGCCUCCCAAAGUGCUGGGAUUACAGGCGUGAGCCACCGCGCCUGACCCAAAGUUUCUAUUCUUUGAGUGCCUAGGUUCUGGCCCCAGUUUAACAAUUUGCUUUCUGUUUUGAUUGACAUUACCUUGUAAAUAUGUUAUAGGUAUUCAUAGAAUUACAGUUUAUCUUCCAUUACCUACAGCCUUAUCUUCAUGACCUGGAGCUAGGCUCUAUCUCUAGAAACUUGGGAACCUGCCUUCUUUAUCUGAGCAGUUCCUUCCUAAGCCAUCUGUUUAAUUUGCCCAUAUUUGGCAGGUAGAUGAGAAGAAUGCUGGAGUCUUUUAUGUAGCUGUCCACCUGGUUGAAAACUUUUUCUGUUAUCUCUAUAUUGGUGUGAAUAUAACAUUGCCAUUUCUGUCAUUUUCUUUCAGUCCUUGUUCAUUUUGUUUUUGUCUUUGUUUUUGCUCUUAGAGACAGGGCCUCACUCUGAUGCCCAGGCUGGAGUACAGUGGUGUAGUCGUGGUUUACUGCAGCCUCAAUCUCCUGGACUCAAGCAAUCCUCCUGUCUUAGCCUCCUGAGUAGCUAGUAGCUGGGACUACAGGCAUGUGACACCAGGCCUGGAUAAUUUUUAAAUUAUUUUGUAGGGAUAGAGUCUCAUUAUGUUGCCUAGGUAGGUCUCAAACUCCUGGCCUCAAGCAGUUCUCCUCCUUGGCCUCCUAGAAUGCUGGGAUAACAGGCAAGAGCACAGCAUUCAGCCCUUUAAGUCCUUUAAAUGGCUAAACCAAAAAAUCCUCUCCGUAGUUUUUUGGAAGAAAAGCAAUGUUUUAAGCCUGAUGUAAAGUUGUUUGCUUUUAUUGAUAGAAAAUGUGGAGCUCAUACUGAAAACAAUCAAUAACCAGCACAGCGUUGAGAGUCAAGACAACGAUCAGCCCGACUAUGACAGCGUGGCAUCAGACGAAGACACAGAUUUGGAAACCACUGCAAACAAAGCAAACCGGCAGAAGAGCCUAGAUUCAGAUUUAUCAGAUGGACCAGUCACUGUACAGGAAUUUAUGGAGGUCAAAAACGCUCUAGUGGCUUCUGAGGCCAAGAUACAGCAGCUAAUGAAGGUGAAUAACAACUUGAGUGACGAGCUGAGAAUUAUGCAGAAAAAGUUGCUUGGAAAAGAUGCUAAUUAAUGAAGAGGAGCAACUACUAUUGGUGUAUUUUUCACAGAUUGGUGCUUUCUAAAUAAAAAUUGAAAGUAACUCCUAACAUUGAAUGGGUUUGCUACUGAAAAAGUAAUGAUCUUCCGGUGCAAACAGUUGCUUGUGGACUUAAACCUUGGCACUGGUGGGGAAUUUGGUCAGAUUUUACAAUCUCUGUCAAAGAGUAGACAGCUGAACUCACACCACACCCAGCUUAUAAAAUGUCCAUGGAAGAUGAAGGCGCACCAGAAGGGAAGGACCCUGCGCAGAAUGGACGUGGUGAAUGGUGUUUAAAAUGCCAGAUGCCAAAGAGUAACACGAUUCCCUGCUGACCCCUUAACUCUAAUCCAUCCAGCACCAUGGAGCAGCCUGCAUGUGAGGAAUGGAAGGAGCAUUCAGGGCCUCCAAGUGACAGUCUCUAAAAUGGGGUGGUGCCGGGCAGAUUAGCAUGUUCAAAGCUGACACCACUGAGGUCGUGUUUUUUGGGUGACAAAGCCAAAGGAGAGAAAGGCCAAAUAUUCCAGCCCUGGCCGAAAGAUGAUCACUCACCCGACGGAAGCAAGCGUGCUGCGUGGAGCAUCCAUGCGAAGAUGUCAAUUCCAUAGAUAAUAGGUUUCCAGUUUUCUUCGUGAUAUGUUAAUAUAGCAAACUUACCAUGAUCCGGUUUUCUCUUUUUUUCUUUCUUUUUUUUUUUUUUUUUUUUUACAAAGUGCUGAAUUGUUUGGAAUAUCAAGAGUAUUAUGUAAUAAAAACUUGUUGAUCAUAAUUUUUCUUGUUGGCUUUUUGGAAAGCAAUAGGCGAUCUGAUUUUUCAUGAGCUGAACUUCUGUCUUUCUUGCUUUGCAAAGCAACCCUAGUCAUCUUUGUGCUGCUUCCAUGGUGUCUGCUGUCAUUUUUGGCCUUUGCAAAUUGCUCAGGGCUCAUUUGAAAAGCAAGUUACCUAAAUGAUGUUUUAAUGAUCUCGAACUCUUGCUUGAAACAGCCUUAGAAUAAUCCAGUGUACAGCUUGCCUGCAAACAUUUCCCAGCCCCACCAUGACAAAUUUUUAAGUGGUUAGACAUUUUGUUUUGAGGAAGUCCAAACCACAACUUUUCCGCAUUCAGAAAUGAAGCUAUUUAAUUUGCUUACGUGAUGAAGGGAGUUGAUUGUGUUUCACCCAAUCCAGAAGAAAGGGUCCUUGUUUGUAUUGGCUUUUUAUUUUCAGCCCGGCUAGCUGUUACUGUCCUUAUUGUUUAAAGCUGGUAGUUGUAUUCAUUUACUUGGUGUUUGCUUUUUCUGCUUGCUAUAAAAAAACACAGUCCCACUGCCAAACAUUUCUUUCAGCUUCAAACACUCCAGAGUGAAAAUUCGAACCUCAGGAAACAGGCCACAACCAAUAUAUAUCAGGUGCAAACUGGUUCUGAGUACACAGACACUUCCAACCACUCUUCCUUAAAGAGACGUCCGUCUGCCCGGGGCAGUAGGCCCAUGUCCAUGUACGAGACCGGAUCAGGUCAGAAACCGUAUCUCCCAAUGGGAGAAGCGAGCCACCCCGAAGAGAGCAGGACGAGACUCCAGCCCUUCCCCGCGCACGCAUCCAGGCUGGAGAAGCAGAACAGCACACCUGAGAGUGACUACGACAACACUCCCAACGACAUGGAGCCAGAUGGCAUGGGGUCAAGCCGAAAGGGACGGCAGAGAAGUAUGGUAUGGCCAGGUGAUGGCUUGGUACCAGACACAGCAGAACCCCAUGUGGCCCCAAGCCCCACUCUCCCUAGCACCGAAGAUGUCAUCAGGAAAACUGAACAGAUCACCAAAAACAUACAGGAGCUCUUAAGAGCAGCCCAAGAAAAUAAACAUGACAGUUAUAUUCCCUGCUCAGAGAGGAUACAUGUAGCUGUUACAGAAAUG